rnacentral:rRNA from 1 species
GACGAAGGUGGCAAGCGUUAUUCGGAUUUACUGGGCGUAAAGGGCGCGUAGGCGGCCACCGCAAGUCAGUUGUGAAAGCCCUGGGCUUAACCCAGAAAGGUCAACUGAUACUGCGGGGCUAGAGUGCAGAAGGGGCAACUGGAAUUCUCGGUGUAGCGGUGAAAUGCGUAGAUAUCGAGAGGAACACCUGCGGCGAAGGCGGGUUGCUGGGCUGACACUGACGCUGAAGUGCGAAAGCUAGGGGAGCGAACGGG